rnacentral:rRNA from 1 species
AGUGAACGCUGGCGGUAGGCCUAACACAUGCAAGUCGAACGGCAGCACAGUAAGCGCUUGCUCUUACGGGUGGCGAGUGGCGGACGGGUGAGGCAUACAUCGGAAUCUACUUUUUCGUGGGGGAUAACGUAGGGAAACUUACGCUAAUACCGCAUACGACCUACGGGUGAAAGCAGGGGAUCUUCGGACCUUGCGCGAUUGAAUGAGCCGAUGUCGGAUUAGCUAGUUGGCGGGGUAAAGGCCCACCAAGGCGACGAUCCGUAGCUGGUCUGAGAGGAUGAUCAGCCACACUGGAACUGAGACACGGUCCAGACUCCUACGGGAGGCAGCAGUGGGGAAUAUUGGGCAAUGGGCGCAAGCCUGAUCCAGCCAUACCGCGUGAGUGAAGAAGGCCUUCGGGUUGUAAAGCCCUUUUGUUGGGAAAGAAAAGCAGCAGGUUAAUACCCCGCUGUUCUGACGGUACCCAAAGAAUAAGCACCGGCUAACUUCGUG